rnacentral:lncRNA from 1 species
CCAAGACUGGGGCGUUGGCUAGGAAGGGGUGGGAGGGCCUCUCUGGAGUCACAGAAGCCUCAUGCAUCUUGACCAGGACGGUGGAUGCAUGGCUUACAUUGGUCACAACUUGUCAACUUGUAUGACUGAAAACUGAACAUCACAUUGAAUUGGACUCAAAGGCAAGACCUGAGGCAAAAUUCAUGUAAGGAGGGAGUUUGGGCGAAGCUUGAGGACUGCUGCCCGGAAGCGUAGAUUCAAGUUGCCCUGAAUACACCUCCUAUUAGCAGCUGUUACAGGUUCAGAAAAAGGAUGGAGGUAGAAAGUCCUCUCUCCCAAACACUAUGAUUGACACUGCAGAGUUCUGCAACUCUCGUACGAGGGAGAUUUCAUGAUGAUCUCAGUAACCGAUCAGAGAAUCAACGACUGACUUCGCUGAGGCACGGUGAUGAAAAGGUCAAGGUGGUCUGGUCUGAGUGAAGUCACAGCAAGAACCCUUGUCCAGGGCCAUUCUCACCUUUGGGGACAGCUCCUUCCCUGUAUGGUCCUCAUGUCACUGCACUUUCCUGCCUUGUUUCUUGCUGAAGCCAUUAUUUCUUAAUUCCUUAGUAGAUAUGCAGAGCGGACAUCCCAAAGAAGCUAGAAAAAUUGAUGAGCAGGGAACAGAUCAAAUCCUCUCCAUCAGUGGAAGGCAAUUCACGAGGGAAGAAGGCAAGACCAUGGGGUAAUUUUUCUGAGACUUGACAAUGUUUGCCAAGUAAAUAAAUCUGCCAUUUAACACUACGAUAAAAGCUGUCAUAGCCAGGGUAUUAGUGACUACUUGAGGUUUGAGGACAAUGAAGACAGAGUAAGAUAAACAUCCUUACUAUCCAGAAAAAAAAAACGGAACCAGAAGACAGCGCUUCUUACUAUCCACAAAAGAAAUGGAACCGCAAGACAGCCCUUCUUAUUUUUCUCCAUCUUCGAUGGUGAGGAAGAAUAAAAAAAAAGUUGCUUUUAAAGUAUAUUCAUUAAAAUCAAAUUCUAUUAUCAUACACACAAAAUAUUUACGUGAAACCAGCCACAAAAGAAUGACAAGGAACGCUACUGAUUUGUCCAUUCUGGGGGAUAAGAACACAGAUUCUUAUCUCACUCUUGUUAAAAGAAAACUUCAGCUGAAUUAAAUUUAAAGGAGUUUAAUUGAGCAAUGAAUGAUUUGCACAUCGGGCAGCCCCCAGAAUUACAGCAGAUUCAGAGAGACUCCAGUGCAGCCACGUGGUGGAAGAUUUAUAGACAAAAAAAGGGAAGUGAGGUAGAGAAACACCUGGAUUAGUUACAGGUUGGCAUUUGCCUUAUUUACACACAGUUUGAACAUUCAGCAGUGUAUGAGUGAUUGAAGUACGGCUGCUGGGACUGGCCGAGACUCAGCAAUUGUGACAGGAUGAGUCAUGGAAUGCAUAACUUUUAAUAACAAAAGCUUUAAGGACUCACGAAGGACAAGGCAGCCAUCUUGGUUCUCCAUGAGUCCAUGCUUAACAUCGGACUUAUGUCCUCUUGGGUGCCAGUUGUUUCUCCAAAUUGGGCACAUAGCAUGGAUAACUGAUGGGUUAUCACAGGUAAUUUGACUUAGACCAUGGAGUUCAUUCAAAUUGUAUAUCUAAACAAUUUCAGUAUAGGCUGAUUAAGUAUGCAAACCUGGUGAAGCAUUUCCUCGGUAUUCAAUUAAUUUUUAUUCUAUUUGGGUUAGCAGUUUUAUAAGCCAGUCAGUCUUUUCAUUAAAGUUUCAGCAAUUCUUACCCAGUCCAAAUGAUGUGAUUUUGAAGUUACUAGAAACCUGUAUUCCACAGUGCUUUUCAGGGUCCUCCCCAUCCGUUCACGAACCUCCUAAAAGACACCAUGUUCUAGGAUUUUUGUGUGCUUGUGAAGUUUUCAGAAACUACAUCAGCAUGAAGCAAUUAACUGCGGAAAUGACUUUAAAUACUCAAAAAGACACAAUUGACAAAGAAAUUUGGUUAUAACAACAACAUAACCAUAAUUAUGAUCGGUAGCAUAUACUCAGAAAAAUUAGAAUUUUAGAAAUCCCAUACAACUUUGGAACAUAUAUUAAUAUCAUUCACUAAAAUAUAACCUGAAGAAGGUUAAAUUUUUUUUUUGACACUAUUCUGUAUCGAAAAGUCCAAAAUGUUUCUUAAAAAGUAACUAAAAAAACACUGGAGUAAUUAAAGGACACUUCCUGUGCAGGGGAUGGAAAAAUCUCAACAAAAAAGGAGCGCAGAAGAGCCUGGCUAGGCGGGAGAACACGGUCAGGCCCGCAGGAGACGCCGCGGCACCUGCCAGAAAGAGAGCCGCAGGCCAAGACCAGGAGACGCGAGAGAGGUGGGCAGGGCUGCCCGAGAGACCCAGGCGGCCAUUGCCCGCCCUGCGUCUGCGCCUGCGCCGGAGCCUCCUCCACACUGCGCCAGCGCCGAGUCCGGCCGCCUCCUCAUUGCGCCGGCGCCGGGGCUUCCUCCACACCGCGCCUGCGCCGAUGACAACCCGCCUCUACAGGACGCCUGCGCAACGCCAUAGUCACCUCAUCAGCUCCGUGCACUUACGAGUCUCUCUCUGAUCGACCACGUGUUCCUGUCGGCUCACAGAGGCCGCCUCAGGGUCCUCCCCCAUUGUCUUCCUCGCACCCUCCACUGUUCCCGGCCCUUCACUCUGCGCUUGCGCAGGAGUCGCUCGCUCCUCUCUGCGCCUGCGCAGAGGCCACCUCCUCCCCGCCCGUCCGCUCCCUUGGCGUCGUCUUGGGCCGCGCCCCGACCCCUUCUGUUUACGCAUGCGCAGGAGCCGCCCUGCGCGGGUGGGGGGCUGAGCCCCUGUGGCUUCAGGUUUAAAGGCGCGAGCGCCACCCACGCAGGCACAAGGGCUCCUAGUCGUUUUAUUUUUAGCGUAAGGUUUUCCUCUUUAACAAGGAAGUAAAAAAAAAAGUUGUGCAAUAAAUAUUAAUCGUCCUUAUAUGUACUCGGGAACGUUCGUCCUUUAGGUUUUCUCCUGGCGCAUGGGCGCCGCCAAUCAUUUCGGGGCUUAUUUUGGUUCUAAAGCCCGGGGCAGCCAGGCCUCCCUGCCUGGCCUCGGCGGGGACGCGGGACCUGGGGCCCCGGACCGGGCCUAACCGCCCUGGCCGGUCCCCACUGAUGGUGGCGGUCGGUCCUGAUCGUCCUGAUGGCAGCGACCAGGCUGGACUCGGGCUGUGCAGGGGCGAGGGGAGCAGGGCGGGGUGACGCCCGGAGAGCGGCCUGGAGAGCGCGUGCUUCAGAAGGCGUGGGCACCCUGUCCCCUUUGCAGAUGGGGAUGCAGGCCCUGGUGGCGGUGGAGGGGAGAUGGGGGCAGGGACGUUGCCGGGCAGAGGAAGCUGGGUGAGUGUGCACUUGGUCCCCUUUGCUCCUCCCUGGGACUUUGGGCUCUAUAGGGCAGCCUCCGAGGCCCACGUGCACACUCGGUGAACCACAGUCCAGACACAGGCAGGGCGGCAGGCCAGGGAAGGAGAGGCCAGGUGUUGGUGCAUGGAGAGGCCAGGUGUUGGCCUGGGGGUGCUAAGUGAACCCCCAAGGUCGCGGAGACAGUAGGGCAACAGCAAAACGAGCUCUGCCGUCCAGGGCGAGGGCCCGGAGUCCUCCCCAGGGGUGGGCUGCAGAGAAGCCCCUGUCCAGGCCCUGCUCACCUGCAAAGUGCUCCCGAGCUCCUGUGCCCCCAGCAGCAAUCCCAGCCCCGCUGACACCCAAGCUUGUCACCCGCUGGGUUUCUUGAGGUCUGAGGACCGUGGCUGAGGGUGCAUGGGCGCUGGGAUGGAGGGGGAUGUCCUGUCCCAGUCUGUGCUUAUUAAUUGUUAAAGAGGGCAAGGCUGCUUUUAUUCAAGGUGGGGGGGCUGCUAAAGCGAGAUGUUGGGUUAGGGGAGGCAGAUCCGGCUCAACUCCAGAUAGAAAAAGUGGGAAUUGACAGCCCAGGCGUAGGGUCGGGAGUGGAGAGAAAAUUACUAAGAGGAAGGGUCAGGGGCAAGGCGGGUUCUAGCUGCAUAGACAGGAUUUUUGCUGAAAAGGCAGGCAGUGUGGUCACAGACCGAGGGUGGGAGUUGAGGACUUUGAUCAGGGACCAAGAGUAGACGAUUUUCACUAAACCGACUCAGCAGGAUUCUUGCUAAAUCGGCCGAAACCGGCCAAGGUCAGGGACUGGUCACAGGGAGGGCUCAGAGGAGCCUGACUCGAGUGUGGUCAAAGGAGAGAGUCUUUGUCAUCUUUUAAGAGGCGAGAGUGACGUAUUAGUGAGAAACGGUGAAGGGAUCAAGCUCAGGCCAGCAGCCCCGAGUUUGAGAUGAGGACAGGCUGGGUCCAGGAAGGGCUGCAGGAAUAGGGGGCACCUGAGCCUGCAGAAAGCGGGGAGCCCAGCCGCCAGAGCAGGCACCCCCAGGCAGACCUCAGUGUGUCCUGCCCUGUGGGAGUGGCAAGGCCAGACCAAGCUGGAUGUGAACCAGUCCCAGAACACCGCCUAGAAUUUGGAUUGUAAUUUGUUAUCGAUGAUAUUGCUGCUUGGUCUCUCUCCUCUUCCUCCCCACCCCCACCCAAGAUGGAGUCUGGCUUUGUCCCCCAGGCUGGAGUGCGAUGGCAGGAUCUCGGCUCACUGCAACCUCCGCCUCCUGGGUUCAAACAAUUCUCCUGCCUCAGCCUCCCAAAUAGCGGGGAUUACUGGUGCGUGCCACCACACCCAGCUAAUUUUUGUAUUUUUGGUAGAGACGGGGUUUCAUCAUGUUGGCCAGGCUAGUCUCAAACUCCUGACGUCGUGAUCCGCCCACCUCAGCCUCCCGAAAUGCUUUGGGAUUACGGGUGUGAGCCGCCGCGCCGAGCAUGGCCAUCGUGGCUACAUCAGUCCCGGCUAAUAGAGAUUUUAGCACACUCAGAUUCUAUUGGCUAAUAAGAUUUAAUUAUAAUUCUGGGGUAUUUAACAAUGUCGUUAUACAGUCUUCAUUGUUGCAAAUGGAGAAUGAAAUCGGGUGCAUGUGACACUAAUAUGACCUGUUCAUGCUCUGUCACUUAAACGGAGUUAAGUAACAUAGCCCUGAGCAGGAAGACUCCUUCCCCACUUCUGUCCAGGAGCUCCUUACUCGAUUCUGGGGAACAGAAAGGCUUUCAGCGGCCAAGGGGAGUGACAACAGCCAGACAUGAGACACCUCCUAGAGCCCUUUGGUGUUACCCUUUCCGGUCCAUCAGCCACAGUGUCCACCCCAGGUAGCUGGGUCCUGAGUUCACCGUCUCAGGACAUUUUUCGACCUGGUUUGUCUGAAUUAUUAUUAUUAUUGAUCAUUGAGACAGGGUCUCAGUCCAUCGCCAAGACUGGAGUGCAGUGGUGUGAUCCUGGCUUACUCAGCCUCCCAGGCUCAGGUGAUCCUCCCAGCUCAGCCUCCUGCGUAGCUGGGACCACAGGCAGGCACCACCAUGCCUGGCUAAAUUUUUUGUAUUUUUUGUAGAGACCAGCUCUCGCUAUGUUGUCCAGGUUGGUCUCAAACUGCUGCCUCAGCCUCCCAAGGUGCUGGGAUUACAGGCAUGAGGGACCAAGCUCAGCAAUCUGAAUUAUUUAUGCAGAAUUUUUUUUUCUCUAGCUGGAAGAGCUGUUUAUAUGCACGUUUCUUUGGGGGCAACUCUUCUCCAUUGUCACAGAUUUUUUUUUUCCAAGCCAUUCCUGGGGGAUUCCUGGGAGCCAUGUGGGAGAGGCGUGAGGAAGUGAGACCUUCACCCCGAGACAGGUCCUGACACACCCUCUGGUGCCUCUACUCAAGUGAGAAGUUUGGCUGCUGUAACUGACUGGGAAGCUUAAAAUAACAGACAAUCAUCUCUCACAUUUAUGGGGACUGGGAAGUCCAAGACCAAGUUGCCAUCUGGGGAGGGCCUGUUCCUCACAGCGCCUUCCAGCUCAGGCCUCGUUUAUAAGGGCACUCAAGCCUUCCACGACAACGGGUCCUCAUGACUUACUCACCUCGGAAAGCCCCACCCCCAAGACCAUCACAUUGUGGGUGAUGGCAGAGCAUAAGGUGCCUUCCCCACAUGCUCGGGUUGGCCCAGCGUCUCACGCUAGCAGCUACGUGGAAUAGUUAUUUUUUCUGGAGAACUCUGGGACCCCUCUGAUGUCUUGGAGCACCCACACAGGCCGUUCACUGUGCACGCUGUGAGGCUGUCGUCUUGGAGCACCCACACAGGC